rnacentral:rRNA from 1 species
GAGGGUGAUGCCUGCCCAAUGGUUGUAUCUAAAAGCGGUUGAUAAAAGUCGACCUCGUAAGGACAAUUGAAUGGCCGCGGUAACACUGACCGUGAUAAUGUAGCGUAAUCAAUAGCCAAUUAAUUGUUGGCCAGUAUGAAUGGCGCCACGAAGGCCCCACUGUCUUAAGGAAAUUCCCAGUGAAAUUGAAUUCGUAGUGAAGAUGCUACGUCCAAUUUGUUAGACGAAAAGACCCCGUUGAGCUUUACUGGGGCACUUACACGGCCCCGGCCUUCCCGUGUCCGGGAACCGGCCGAAUUUAAAUGGGUGGUUUAGACUAUGUGGCAGCCCCCCGCCGGGGCAGAUGAAACCCCACUCCCCCAUGUCAAAGGGGCUAACCCCCUCUUGGGGGGGAGAGUGUAAGUAGGACAGUUUGGUUGGGGCGACCGCCUUUUAAAGAGUAACGAAGGUGCGCUUAAGGUGCGCAAUUAAUGACUGAAGCCUGACUGCGAGGGGGACACCCCGAGCAGACACCCCUAAGCCCGCCCGAAGGGCGGCGGUGGGG